rnacentral:rRNA from 1 species
GUAGGUGGCAAGCGUUGUCCGGAAUUAUUGGGCGUAAAGCGCGCGCAGGUGGUUCUUUAAGUCUGAUGUGAAAGCCCCCGGCUCAACCGGGGAGGGUCAUUGGAAACUGGGGAACUUGAGUGCAGGAGAGGAAGGUGGAAUUCCACGUGUAGCGGUGAAAUGCGUAGAUAUGUGGGGGAACACCUGUGGCGAAGGCGACUUUCUGGCCUGUAACUGACACUGAGGCGCGAAAGCGUGGGGAGCAAACAGGAUUAGAUACCCUGGUAGUCCACGCCGUAAGCGAUGAGUGCUAAGUGUUGGGGGGGUUUCCCGCCCCUCAGUGCUGCAGCUAACGCAUUAAGCACUCCGCCUGGGGAGUACGGUCGCAAGACUG